GAUGAACGCUGGCGGCGUGCCUAAUACAUGCAAGUCGAGCUAACAGACGAGGAGCUUGCUCCUCUGACGUUAGCGGCGGACGGGUGAGUAACACGUGGAUAACCUACCUAUAAGACUGGGAUAACUUCGGGAAACCGGAGCUAAUACCGGAUAAUAUAUUGAACCGCAUGGUUCAAUAGUGAAAGACGGUUUUGCUGUCACUUAUAGAUGGAUCCGCGCCGCAUUAGCUAGUUGGUAAGGUAACGGCUUACCAAGGCAACGAUGCGUAGCCGACCUGAGAGGGUGAUCGGCCACACUGGAACUGAGACACGGUCCAGACUCCUACGGGAGGCAGCAGUAGGGAAUCUUCCGCAAUGGGCGAAAGCUUGACGGAGCAACGCCGCGUGAGUGAUGAAGGUCUUCGGAUCGUAAAACUCUGUUAUUAGGGAAGAACAAAUGUGUAAGUAACUAUGCACGUCUUGACGGUACCUAAUCAGAAAGCCACGGCUAACUACGUG
rnacentral:rRNA from 1 species